GGGGAUAUAGCUCAGUGGUAGAGCGUACGCUUUAAAUGCGGAAGGUCCGGGGUUCAAACCCCGCAUCUCCA
rfam:Nematostella vectensis strain CH2 x CH6 NEMVEscaffold_161_Cont16368, whole genome shotgun sequence.